rnacentral:lncRNA from 12 species
CUUUGCCCAAGGUGCCAUAGGGCAAAUGGACUGGUUAUCUUGGGUGUCAAGACAGCCCAAGCUCAGCAGGGGGCAGAACCGGGGGUCGGGGGGGAGACUCAAACUGCAGAGUCAGAUGACCCAAAUGUGACCCAUUCUGGCUAUGACAUUUCACUUACAAAAUAGGAAUGACAGCAAUCAAAUCAUGGCCUGUCUUGACAAUUAAACACCAGAUCAAGUGCCCAGACCGUCAAUUCUGGUUGUUAUUUAUGGAUGCCUUUGAUGACUGAGAGCCUGUUUUGUAGGUUUUUUGUUUGUUUGUUUGUUUUGUUUUUUUGUUUGUUUUUUUCCCCAAAUCAGUUAUCUUGACUUGGAGCAGGUGGGGCUUAUCUUCUAGUUGACUUGUACUCUUGCUGGAGGUAGAGUGUAAAUGAUCUUGUGUUUGCUUCCAGCCUUAGGAUCUGACCAAUGAAGCUUAUGGAGUUAAUCUCUUUGUUCAGCAAUAUCAGAUCUCAAAGAAAGAGGUGGCACCAGUUUUGCUUGCUCUUCACCGGGAAAGGCCUAACCACCAAUAGGAGCCGCUGUCAGAAGAAGGAGGAAGAAUUAGGACCCAUUCAAAGAGAGGGUUGUACAAUGAAAUUUGUGGGAGAUCGAAGAGAUGAGUGAAUGGGAAAUUUAUAUUUUCCUAAUAUAGAACUUUGGGUAAAAAGUGAUAAUAGCAACCAAGGGACAACACAACAACUUUAGAAGCAUAAUCUGCACAUACAUUGCAGUCGCGAGAAGAGAAAAAGAUUUGGAAUCAGACUAACUUAGGGUGAAUAGUGGAUCCACCACACACUAGUUAUGAAAACUCAGUCUUCUUAGCUGGGAAAAGGGGUCAGGGGUCCUCAUCUAUCAUGGUUGUUAUGAGGAUUAGAUAUAAUGUACAUAAAAAAACAUUAAGUCUGGUGCAUCAAAGAAAUUCAAUUACUUAUAACUGUAGUUGUUAUUUUUAUUAUUACUAGAAGGAGAAUAUGAGAAAUAAUCUACUGACUACACUAAUAAUAAGGGAAAAAAUUGGUUUUCUGAAUCAUGGCUCAUUAUAAAAGAAUAAUGUUCCCUUGAGGAAAUGAUAGAGAACUUUACUCAAACAUCUGGAAGAGACUGGAAACAUACUCACCAAUGUGAUCAAAAUUUUAAAAAAUAAAUAUUUUAUGAAAAAAGCA